rnacentral:lncRNA from 1 species
UUGCAAAUAAGGAAAGUGAGGCCAGAGAAGGGAAUAGGCUUCCCCAAUGUCAAACAUCAAAUCAGUGGCAAAUUUGAGCCUAGAACUUGGGUUUCCAGGUCAGGGAUUUUGUAUGACUUACAAAUCCCCAGGAAUGACUUACUGAAUCCCUUUCUAUGGAGUAUGGUCACAUUAUCUCAUUUAAUUCUCAAAGAGCUGAGGAAGUGGGCAUUGUUAUCUUCCUUACUUUGCAGGUAAGAAGGCAGGGCUCUGAGAGGUGGGGUGACUUGCCUAAGGUCACACAGCUAGCCAGAGGUAGCCCUGGUUUGACCCUAGGUGGUCUGGCUACAGAGCUCCCAGCCUCUGUGCAGUUGCCCAUAAGGGUGGCCUUGGGGGGUGGAGAUGGAGCCCCAGCUUUCCCACAGGUGCACACAGGCAGCUCUGAGAUUUCCGCUUGGCCCAGUCUGGGCCAUCAUUUCCCCACCUGAUACUACUCCCAAGGACAAGGCCUGGUGUGCGUCCUACAGCCCACACCUCACCAGCUGCGCCCCAAGGUUCAGUCCACAAUCCCAGAAGGCAGAACAUCCU